UCCUUUUUUUGACAGUUAGAAAGAGAAGUCGGUCCCACCUAUAAGUGAAGAAAUAAAAAAUAACGACUAAAAUAGUCAAAUAAACGAACGAAAUGUACCCAAUUGUAGUAAACACUGCCUCAAAAAUUAAUUGACUACUUGACAUUGUUCUAAAACAACGAUUUCUAGCUAUCUCCAAACUAAUCCUCGAAAUCAAAAUUUUCGUCAUAUUCAUCUUCAAACCUGUAAGACAUCGCAUCAUUAUGAUGACCGAAUAUAACAUCAUCGUCGCCACAAGUGAUCUUCAUUAUGAAGAUUCUUCAUCAUAAUUGCCCUCUUUAGAUCUUUGCAUUUUAGGUGUGGUGGUGUUUUCGUUCUGUGAAUGGUCAUUUCUUCAAGAAUCGAGUUUCAAAUCGAUGUGUGCCAUACCAGAACCUUGUUCCUGAAAUGAUAAUUAACAAAGUUAUGGGAAAUAAUAAAGGGAAAAUUGUAGCAGCGGUACUAAACCUUUCAUUUAUUAGCAGACUUUGCCCAAAUCUUCAUUUUGUG
rnacentral:lncRNA from 1 species